CGCGGCCUAUCAGCUUGUUGGUGAGGUAAUGGCUCACCAAGGCGACGACGGGUAGCCGGCCUGAGAGGGUGACCGGCCACACUGGGACUGAGACACGGCCCAGACUCCUACGGGAGGCAGCAGUGGGGAAUAUUGCACAAUGGGCGAAAGCCUGAUGCAGCGACGCCGCGUGAGGGACGACGGCCUUCGGGUUGUAAACCUCUUUCAGCAGGGAAUAAGCGAAAGUGAAGGUACCUGCAGAAGAAGCACCGGCUAACUACGUGCCAGCAGCCGCGGUAAUACGUAGGGUGCAAGCGUUAUCCGGAAUUAUUGGGCGUAAAGAGCUCGUAGGCGGUUUGUCGCGUCCGUCGCGAAAGUCCGGGGCUCAACUCCGGAUCUGCGGUGGGUACGGGCAGACUAGAGUGAUGUAGGGGAGACUGGAAUUCCUGGUGUAGCGGUGGAAUGCGCAGAUAUCAGGAGGAACACCGAUGGCGAAGGCAGGUCUCUGGGCAUUAACUGACGCUGAGGAGCGAAAGCAUGGGGAGCGAACAGGAUUAGAUACCCUGGUAGUCCAUGCCGUAAACGUUGGGCACUAGGUGUGGGGGACAUUCCACGUUUUCCGCGCCGUAGCUAACGCAUUAAGUGCCCCGCCUGGGGAGUACGG
rnacentral:rRNA from 1 species